CCUACGGGUGGCAGCAGUGAGGAAUAUUGGUCAAUGGACGAGAGUCUGAACCAGCCAAGUAGCGUGAAGGAUGACUGCCCUAUGGGUUGUAAACUUCUUUUAUAUGGGAAUAAAACGUUCCACGUGUGGGAUUUUGUAUGUACCAUAUGACUAAGGAUCGGCUAACUCCGUGCCAGCAGCCGCGGUAAUACGGAGGAUCCGAGCGUUAUCCGGAUUUAUUGGGUUUAACGGGAGCGUAGGUGGAUUGUUAAGUCAGUUGUGAAAGUUUGCGGCUCAACCGUAAAAUUGCAGUUGAAACUGGCAGUCUUGAGUACAGUAGAGGUGGGCGGAAUUCGUGGUGUAGCGGUGAAAUGCUUAGAUAUCACGAAGAACUCCGAUUGCGAAGGCAGUUCACUGGACUGCAACUGACACUGAGGCUCGAAAGUGUGGGUAUCAAACAGGAUUAGAUACCCCUGUAGUC
rnacentral:rRNA from 1 species